AACAGCCCAGAUCUACAGCUAAGGUCCCAAAGUCAGGUUAAGUGGAAAACGAUGUGAAGAUACGUAGACAACCAGGAUGUUGGCUCAGAAGCAGCCACUCAUUCAAAGAGUGCGUAAUAGCUCACUGGUCGAGCGUCUUUGCGCGGAGAAUUUAACGGGGCUAAACCUGACACCGAAGCUUAGGCAAUACAGCAAUGUAUUGGGUAGGGGAGCGUUGUAUACGCGGAGAAACAGUAGCGUAAGCGGCUGUGGAGUGUAUAGAAGUGAGAAUGCCGGAAUGAGUAGCGCGAAUGCAGUGAGAAUCUGCAUGGCCGAAAGCCUCAGGUUUCUGGAGGAAGGUUCGUCCGCUCCAGGUUAGUCGGGAGCUAAGGUGAGGCCUAACGGCGUAGCCGAUGCACAGACGGUAGAGAUUCCGUCACCACCAAAAGAGUUAAGCACAGGGACACAUAUGAAGUCUCAGAGCCGGGUGUUGGUUCCGGUAGAGAUCGAGGGAAAUUAGUACCGAAGUCUGAGAUGGAAGAUGGCGAGAAAAGCUGUGUGUAUUUCUGAGGUGCCCGUACCGCAAACCGACACAGGUAGGUAGGAAGAAGAUUCUAAGGCCAACGGGAGAAGGGUUGUUAAGGAACUCGGCAAAUUGACCCCGUAACUUCGGGAGAAGGGGUGCUCCAGAGAUGGAGCCGCAGAGAAUCGGCCCAAGCAACUGUUUACCAAAAACACAGGUUUGUGCUAAAUCGAAAGAUGACGUAUACGAGCUGACGCCUGCCCGGUGCUGGAAGGUUAAGAGGAGAUGUGCAAGCAUUGAAUCGAAGCCCCAGUGAACGGCGGCCGUAACUAUAACGGUCCUAAGGUAGCGAAAUUCCUUGUCAGGUAAGUUCUGACCCGCAUGAAAGGCGUAAUGAUUUGGGCACUGUCUCAACAGCCCGCCCGGCGAAAUUGUAGUACCGGUGAAGAUGCCGGUUACCCGCGACAAGACGGAAAGACCCCAUGGAGCUUUACUGUAGCCUAAUAUUGGGUUUCGAUGUUGCAUGCACAGGAUAGAUGGGACACUGGGAAGCAGGUGCUUUGGCGCUUGUGGAGUGGCCGUUGGGAUACCAUCCUUGCGAUAUUGGAAUUCUAACCUGCGCCUUUGAAUCAAGGCGGGGGACAUUGUUAGGUGGGCAGUUUGACUGGGGCGGUCGCCUCCUAAAGAGUAACGGAGGCGUUCAAAGGUUCGCUCAGCUUGAACGGAAAUCAAGCAAAAGAGUGCAAACGCAGAAGCGAGCCUAACUGCGAGACUGACGGGUCGAGCAGUAACGAAAGUUGGAGUUAGUGAUCCGGUGGUAUGUGAGUGGAAAUGCCAUCGCUCAACGGAUAAAAGUUACCCUGGGGAUAACAGGCUGAUCUCCCCCAAGAGUCCACAUCGACGGGGAGGUUUGGCACCUCGAUGUCGGCUCAUCGCAUCCUGGGGCUGUAUUCGGUCCCAAGGGUUUGGCUGUUCGCCAAUUAAAGCGGUACGCGAGCUGGGUUCAGAACGUCGUGAGACAGUUCGGUCCCUAUCUGUCGUGGGCGCAGGAUAUUUGAUGGGAGCUGUUCCUAGUACGAGAGGACCGGAGCGGACGUACCUCUGGCGCACCAGUUGUUCUGCCAAGGGCAUAGCUGGGCAACUAUGUACGGAUCGGAUAAACGCUGAAAGCAUCUAAGCGUGAAGCCGACCCAAAGAUAAGAUAUCCCACUGAUUUGAUCAGGUAAGACCCCUUGA
rnacentral:rRNA from 1 species